rnacentral:rRNA from 1 species
AGAGUUUGAUCCUGGCUCAGAUUGAACGCUGGCGGCAUGCCUUACACAUGCAAGUCGAACGGCAGCACGGGAGCAAUCCUGGUGGCGAGUGGCGAACGGGUGAGUAAUGCGUCGGAACGUACCGAGUAAUGGGGGAUAACGCACCGAAAGGUGUGCUAAUACCGCAUACGCCCCGAGGGGGAAAGCAGGGGAUCGUAAGACCUUGCGUUAUUCGAGCGGCCGACGUCUGAUUAGCUAGUUGGUGGGGUAAAGGCCUACCAAGGCGACGAUCAGUAGCGGGUCUGAGAGGAUGAUCCGCCACACUGGGACUGAGACACGGCCCAGACUCCUACGGGAGGCAGCAGUGGGGAAUUUUGGACAAUGGGGGAAACCCUGAUCCAGCCAUUCCGCGUGAGUGAAGAAGGCCUUCGGGUUGUAAAGCUCUUUCAGCCGGAACGAAACGGUACGCUCUAACAUAGCGUGCUAAUGACGGUACCGGCAGAAGAAGCACCGGCUAACUACGUGCCAGCAGCCGCGGUAAUACGUAGGGUGCGAGCGUUAAUCGGAAUUACUGGGCGUAAAGCGUGCGCAGGCGGAUUGUUAAGCAAGAUGUGAAAUCCCCGGGCUUAACCUGGGAAUGGCAUUUUGAACUGGCAGUCUAGAGUGUGUCAGAGGGGGGUGGAAUUCCACGUGUAGCAGUGAAAUGCGUAGAUAUGUGGAGGAACACCAAUGGCGAAGGCAGCCCCCUGGGAUAACACUGACGCUCAUGUACGAAAGCGUGGGUAGCAAACAGGAUUAGAUACCCUGGUAGUC